AUGGAUUCGGGUUGGAAAUCCAAUGGCAACGAUGAAGAGCCAACGGCAACGCCUACUAAAGGAAUCGAAGGAAUCAGAUCUACAAUUAAUCCAGGAAACCUUCCCUGCCCAGUGGUGUGUGCAACAGGCGAGCAAGUAGGAGUGUCUGGUUCCAAGAGAAAGCGUCGGAAGCAUUACGUUUACCUUGUUUUUGAUGACUGGUCGUACGGAUAUAGCAUCCACAAGGUAAACUUGUUUCCCUGCUCUCGCCGACGUAAGCAGACUGCAUUCUCAGCACCAGCCGAUGUGCCGUGCCUGCCUCCGGCACUCUUCCGCUUGGAGGCAGCGCAUGGGUCGCCAGAGUACAUCGCCUCAGCCUUUGGCACCAGGAUCUUGGCGAUGCAUACCAGGGAUCCCGGAGGCAAGAGAUUGUUGUCCGGGACCUUCGUCCCCAUGUUGGACGUCUCCUCGCUGAGCAUGACCUUUUGCCCUGGCCAGGAAUAUCCGAUUAAUCCCAUCUAUCUCUCCGUCGGCAAUACUAGGCUAUUCUGUCUCAGCGAAGCCUCCUUCGAGAUGCUCCACUGGGAACCUCUCUGCCCCCCGCCGCUGGGUCGACGUCGCAGCAAGGAGUGGUCGUGGCAACGGCUUGAGAAACCGCCAUUCAAGAGUUAUAACGUCACGUCCUACGCUGUGCAUCCCCAGAGAUGUACCAUCUUCGUCAGCACCAAGAUGAACGACAUUGAGGCCACCUUUUCCUUUGACAUGGAAAAGCAAAAGUGGGAACAACUUGGCAGUUGGGCGCUGCCCUUCGCAGGCCGUGGUCACUUUGAUCCGUACCUCAAUGCCUUUGUUGGGCUCUCCAAAGAUUCUGACACCCUUGGCCAAGUCUACUCCUGCUGCUUGUCCAGCUCCAGCACUGGCCACGGCCUUGAGUGGAAGCUCGGCAAGGAGAGGCUGUUCAGUCAGGACCCAGCUGAGAGGCAUGUAGGCGCCACCCUAGUCUACGUGGGCCAGAGCAAAUUCUGCUUAGUGCAGUGCGUCUCCAUUGAGGAUGAAAGCGAUGGUCCGAAGCUUAAGGAAGAGGGAAAUGUGGGCGGACCUGUUUACCGUACCGAGGACCGGGGUGCUGAUCUGAAGCUCAAUGAAGGAGAUGUUCAGGAGCUCAAGGAAGAGGGAGAUGUUCAGGAGCUCAAGGAAGAGGGAGAUGUGGAUGGUCCCGGUUACUCUAUUGAGGACGAGGGAUAUGAUCAGGAGCUCAUGGACGAGGGAUAUGAUCAGGAGCUCAUGGAAGAGCGAUAUGUACCUUGUUGCUGUCUGUAUCGUUUGACCACAUUUUCUCUCAGCUAUGACAUCAAAGGAGACCUGACGACUGGCAAUAGUUGUCGGGUGCUAUACUAUAAAGUGCCUGAAGCGAUCACUUCGUCAUUCCUCGUUGAAGAUCCUGUCGCAUUUUGCAUGUAA
rnacentral:rRNA from 1 species